rnacentral:lncRNA from 1 species
AGAGCCCCGCGGACCAGAGAGAGGAAGGGAACGCCAGAGCAGUCCCUGGCAACAGAGGGAUCUGGCAGGAAAGACCUGGAAAAUAAGGGGCAGGGGGGCGGAGGGGGAGAUUCCUCAGGAGAUGGGAAAUGGGGGGCCCAUUCAGACAGCGGAAAAAACGAGAAGGGAGAGUGUUAACUAGGGACGAAGAUGGGAAUGCGAUGGCUAUUUGCUUGGAUUCUGAGCUAAAAAUAUGAAAGGGAGGGGAGAGGACAGGCUAGAAUGUGAGUUUCCUCCAGUUAAAAGUGAAAGUGUUUUGCCAUCAGUGACAGUUGAAGGAGAGCGGGGUGGGAGGUGGUGUUUUCAACCCCCUUUCUCCCUCUCUCCCGUCCUCCCUCGGUCUCUCCUCUUUCUUUCUGCACUUUGUCCAAUGAAAGAAGGCGAGUUCGGGAGGUGAAAGUUCAGCAGAAGGACAAACCCCUGUUUGCAAGGAAACAGAAACCCCGCCAGCCAGCGAGGGGUUUUCUCCCCUGUUUCUCGGAAUCAGGAGAGUGUGAAUGUGGGACGAGCUUCUGCCCCCUUGUCAGAGCCACUGCAGGAAUGUGCAAUCGAGUCCACUUUGGGGGAAGGUGGCUGCAUCAGGAACUGUGUUCUUGCCACGACUCCUCUUAGGAAAACGCCUGGGGGCUAGCAUGUCAGUCCGUUGUUUAACACAAAUUACCUGCUCUCCCAGUGAUCAGUCACGUGCAAAAAGCUUUGUCCAAUUCUUUGAAAAGGUGAGAUUUUUUUUUUUCUUUUUGCGGUUUUUGAAGUUUGGUUGAAUUUAGAAAUUCGAAGGAAUAAACUAAGAGCCUGAAUUAAAUGUUUUGAAAUAUACAUACAUAAAACAAAAGACACUAGUAUUUCUUUCACUUUUAUCAAUACGCAUAGAGAAGGAAGCAGAGUAUGUGUUUCCAAAACGUGACUUGGAAAGCUGUAAGACCUCUAUGUCUUGUUGUUGUUGUUGUUGUUGUUGUUAACAGAAGUAAAUUUUUUCAGACCCACCACCACAGAAGUGGCCAGACUCCCAAACCAGCAUUUCCAGCUACUGGCUGGCUGGUGUACACCAGGCCAAUUCUUUAUGAGAAUAUAUUAAAAGUCACCCCUGUGGAUUCCUACAAAGUACUUCCCCUUGCGGGGAGGGGAGAGGCUUACUGUCCCUUUGGUCUUGAGACCAGCACAGUUGUAGAUAAUAUCCUGAAAAGGUUAUUAUUAAAUUCUUUCGCGUAAUGCCCCUUUACAAAUAUUGUUAAACAUUAAUUUACAGAAGAACUUAAAUCUUAAUUUCAAGGGUGGCAUAAGACUAUCGCUUUGAAAUUGUAUCUUUCGCAAGUUAAAAAAAAAAAAUAACAAAGCCAUUCGCUGAUGCUACAGAAUAAAAGAAAGGGAGGCUGCUAAGGUAAUUUCAGCCUGGUAGAAUUCACAUUGCAUGCAUGCUGCAUAAAGUUCCAUGCUAUCCAGAUAAGACUAUUCACUGAAUCUUUUAGACUAGAAUCUAGACCAAUAAAAUGCAUUUUAGUUUGUAUGGAAUGUCCUAGCUUCCUAGAGGCUAGGGUUCGACGUCUUGUUUGUCAAGACAUAAAGGGAUUAAUGACAUACCCACUGUGUGCUAGACCACAGAGUGGGCACAGAGGGAUGAAAAAAUAAAAAUUCCUGCCCUUGAGGAGCUCACAGUCUAAGCUGUCAAUAAUAACAUCUAACAUUUAUUAAAUACUAUGAUCUAGGCACUGAACUAAAAGCUUUAUGUCAACUCAGUUAAUACUGCCAACAACUCUUUGACAUCACUGGAAAUUCCAUAUGCUGAAUUCACACGGAAUUAAGUGGAAAUCUACAAAGUAGCCAGUCUACUGGUUCUGUAGUGGUCAACCUAUUAAAAAUGGUUUUUAAUUUCUAAAGUACUUUAUGCCAAAUAUAACAUGUUUAUGGUAUAUGCCUGACUGUAGAAUUAUAACUCAGGGGAAUAACGACUUAUUUAAAUGUAACAGAUCUAUUCAUAGUCUGUAAAGAACAAUUCAUCCUCUGAUCUUGUUUUUCAGAUUAAGCAGUGUGUUUAUUAAAAAUUAUUAUCAUCGCAAUACUAAAAAGAUCUUUAGAUUGCUGCUAAUCUGAUUCUGCAUUUUAACUGCCUUAAAUUCUACAUUCACUUGCAAGUGGGGGCCACAGUCAGGUUGGCAACAAGUUUUGCAGACAAAAGGAAAUCCUGGUUGUAAAUCCCAUGAUAUAUUGUACUCAAUUUUGUAUGAUACUGUCUAAUGUGCUGUGCUGCCUUAUUAAAGAACUCGAUGUCCAUUUGGUUUACAUUAGAGGGAAACUUAACUGCAGCUUAACAUAUUGUUCAUUUUCAACACUGUCACGUUACAUUCGUGGGGGGCAGAUUUUAAUUUCUUUAUCAGUAAUCAACUGGAAGUUUCUUUUUGUUAAAUUAAAGCAAGAAAGGUUUUAAAAUAAAGGGCAUGGGGGUAGGACGCCACCUUUUGGUGAUAAAACAAAUAGAAAUCCCUUCUGAAAACAGAUGUUCCUGACAUAAUUUUAUUUUUAAUUACACCAAGGCAAAGGUGCUUGUCCCCAUUUCGUUAUAUUUUAAGUAACAGGAGAAAAAAAAAACCAAUGUAAAUGCAAAAUUAGCAAAUUAUAGUUAACUGCAGCCAAAAUUUUCCCAAACGUAUCAGAAUAUGUUAGUCCCCUGUCACAUUACUGUUGAUUGUAUACACCAAACAUGAGCUUCAUUCACCAAAUACCAUGUCACUAAAUAUAUGUACAUUUGGGGAACAGAAACUGGAGUGGACAUUUACCACCUGACGACGUACCUGAAUGCUCUUGUAAGUUUUGAGUUGAACAAAAACUAAAACCACUUAAUUUAGUGUUUCUUUAACCACAGUUACUGGUGUCCUGAUUUUUGCCAUAUCUAUAUGACAUAACAGUUCCCGAAUAAUUAAUAUACCAUACUCAUUGGAGGCCACUUAUUAUGGUAAUUGUAGCAAACAUUUUCAUUUAAAUCAACCUUCUUUUAAUUUUUUUCUAUUACUGCCUUAAAUGGGAAAUCAGUAUCACCCACCAUAAAUUAAAAACAAGCACAGUAAAAACAAAGUCACUGAUUUCUCUUUGAGGGUCAAAACAAAAAUUAAAAAUGAUUUUUGAAAAAAGGAGGGAGAGUGGCAAAUGUUGAGAAGGGUUAAGGACAAGAGUAUCAAUGGAAAUUUUUGAAUUUUUGUUUUUUCUCUCUCUUUUUUUCUGUUUUUUUUUUUUUUUUUUUUUUAACAACCAGAAGGAUUUAAAGUGAUCGGAAAGGAAUACAGUUCUCAAUGUGUGAUUCAGUGUUAUGCCAUCCUAGUGCCAAGGUUCCUACACUUUAAAAAACAUGGGCAUAACUAAGAAUAUCGCAUUACAGAUGAGGAAUCUAAGGCCCAGGGAUUUCAUUUGCCCUCCAAGGCAAAAUAAAUUUGGUUACUGGUUGGACAAGGAUUAGAAUCCAGGUGUCCUGACUUUGUGGGUUUCCAUCUCACUCUUUCCACUAAAGUGACCAAUCCUCAGACUUAAGUGGUUUGUCUAGCUUCUCAGAAACAGCUAACCUACAGACCCCUUUACAGAUCUGGGAGAAACUGAGGCCACAGAGGGUCAAGAACAAGUUCAACCCCCUGCUCACCGUCCUUUCUCUCCACCCUCUCUCCAUAGAUGUGACAGACAUCCAGGUGGGGGUCAACACAGCAAAGAAAGAAGGGAGGGUUGAGAAGAGAAAAGUGGAUUCAGAGAGGGGAGGUUAGUAAGCGUGGGCAGACCAUUCUCUAAAUGAAAGCUUAAACUCAGUUGCCUUCCAAGAAGAUAAAAAUGGCUAAUGAAAAUCAUGUGCUUCACAGUAAGUGGUAAGAGGAGCCCAUCCUCUGUGUCCUCAUGUCCCUAUAUGUCCACACCGGAAAUCAGCAGGGGAUCUCUUGUUUUAAAGUAUACAAUAUUAACAGGCACACUCUGAGACAAAACCACAUUUGAUAAUUUGAGUGGGUGGAAAAGCUAGUCAGGGAACGGGGAAUGACCCUAGCUUAAAAAGUGUUUUCCCCCACAACAAAACUUAAGAGGCUCAGAGUUAAAUCUAGAAACAAUAGUGCUUUUUCUGUUUUUCUAACUGGAGAGUGAGACCUUAGUUACCAAGACUGCACUUGCUGCUUUUUUUUAAAGUAUGCAGUUAUAUAAACAUAAAUAAAUAUGGCCUGCAAAUAUUUUUAUGUUUUUCUAAAUUGGUGAUUGUGAAAAGAGGUUGUGCAUGACUGUACUGUAUGAACAUGGGUCUCAGUGGACUGUAAUCCUCAUAAACUACAAGGUACGGUGAAGCAUUUGGCCAAGUAUCAUCAAUCCAAAAAGCUGUUCUAAUGCCCUGAGCAUUCCCAGUGCAACGUUGGUACCUUGGAAACAUGUAAAAGGAGUAUGGGUGGCUCAACCCCAUCUGCUACAGGUACUAGAACAAUCUACAGCCUUACUAUGCAAAAUGAGAUGUGCUGACCUGCAGAGCACCACCUCCAGGUUAUGUCAAAAAUGCAGAAUGUCAGGCCCUACCUCAGACCUAGUGAAUCAAAUAUCUGUAUUUUAAAAAAAUCACCCAGCCAAGUCUCACACACAUUCAAGUUGGACAAAGGUGAUCUAUAGUACAUGUGGCCCCUUAUACAACAGGCUGCAUCUCAAUAUCUUGAUAGCCUUAAACUAUUUCACAGGUAGUCCUGUAAGUCUGCCAUACAUGAUUCUCCAAACUGGCAUCUUUUAUAAACUUUGUUGGUUCCUUAUUUUUCAACCAUUUGCAAAGUUAAGUCACUCAAUCACCUAUGCAAACCAUAAUUAAUUCCUUUGACAUUAAUAGUCCGGUGACUUCUCUCUCCUGUUACCCCAAAGAGACUGCUAAUUGCCCUCCAAUUGUUUACCUUUGUAUUGUUUUAUGAGAGCUCAGAGAAAGAUGGAAGAUACUCUCCACCAGGCCAGAAACAAAUGCCAGACAGGUUUUGAAAAGGCUGAACACAUGCUAUGACUACACCUUGUUAGUAGAAGGGCUUUGCUUUCUUUGUUUUGUUUUCUUUUUUUAUGGAAGGGAUGACGCCUCCAUAAUUAUAGGUGCUGCUGUUUAAAACCCAGAGUGUUUUCCAAACCACUGAGGGGCCACACCUCCAGCAGCCCAUGAGCCAUCCUGGCUGGAUUAUCUUUCCAGUUCUCUAAAC